GUGUCAGCAGCCGCGGUAAGACGGAGGGGGCAAGCGUUGUCCGGAAUCACUGGGCGUAAAGCGCGUGUAGGUGGCCCGGUGCGUCGGCGCUGAAAUCUCCAGGCUUAACCUGGAGGGGUGUGCCGAUACGACCAGGCUUGAGGCAGGGAGAGGGUAGCGGAAUUCCGGGUGUAGUGGUGAAAUGCGUAGAGAUCCGGAGGAACUCCUGCAGCGAAAGCGGCUACCUGGUCCUGUCCUGACACUGAGACGCGAAAGCGUGGGGAGCGAACCGGAUUAGAAACCCCCGUAGUCC
rnacentral:rRNA from 1 species